UGAAUAUUCUCACUUUGUGUAUCUCUGUUGGCCAAUCAAGUCCAUCAUCAGCGAUGCCGUCAAUGUAUGCGCCAGGAUCAUUGCGCUUCUGGACUCAGCUAAGUUUAGGCCCUGCCCCUCCUGCCAAGAACCUAACCAGGGAUAAUGUAA